UACGGAGGGUGCAAGCGUUAUCCGGAUUCACUGGGUUUAAAGGGUGCGUAGGUGGGCAGGUAAGUCCGUGGUGAAAUCUCUGAGCUUAACUCAGAAACUGCCGUGGAUACUAUCUAUCUUGAAUAUCGUGGAGGUUAGCGGAAUAUGUCAUGUAGCGGUGAAAUGCUUAGAUAUGACAUAGAACACCCAUUGCGAAGGCAGCUAACUACGCGAUCAUUGACGCUGAUGCACGAAAGCGUGGGGGUCAAACAGG
rnacentral:rRNA from 1 species